GUCGAAAUUGGCGAUUCAAAAGUCCAAAUUAAUCUAUACAUUCAGGGAUACAAUUUUUUUGAAGGAUGCAAGGCCAGAAAAGAUCUUUUUCAAUACGAAAACUCUGAUGGAAGUUGGCAAGCGAGUUUGUUUCUGAAUCUGGUGGGAAAUUUACGGAAUUGGGAGUCCUAUUGUUUAAGAGGAAAUAUGUUGGGAUUGGAGAGAUUUUCUCUACAGCAUCAAAUCUCCUAAUUUUUAGAAUUAAUAUCUUAUCAUUAAGGCUACCUUUUUUAGGUUAAAUAGGGAAAAAAGGAACCAAGGGGAUCAUUCCAUUUCCUCUCUUAUUUCUUUUACUUUUGAAAAUUCUUUGAGGAUGAGCAGAUGAUCCUUUUGUUCGGUUCAAGGGGAAUAGAAUCCAUCACCAUAUUCGGUUGUGAGAAGUAAAGCUUACUAUUAUGAUUCUUUCAUAUUCAAGUAUUUAUUCAUCCUUAUUUUAAUUUUUAUUCUGCUGAAUUCUAUCCAUGCUAAUGGAAUUGGUUUUGAGAUG
rnacentral:lncRNA from 1 species